GAUGAACGCUGGCGGCGUGCCUAAUACAUGCAAGUCGAGCGAACAGACGAGGAGCUUGCUCCUCUGACGUUAGCGGCGGACGGGUGAGUAACACGUGGAUAACCUACCUAUAAGACUGGGAUAACUUCGGGAAACCGAAGCUAAUACCGGAUAAUAUAUUGAACCGCAUGGUUCAAUAGUGAAAGACGGUUUUGCUGUCACUUAUAGAUGGAUCCGCGCCGCAUUAGCUAGUUGGUAAGGUAACGGCUUACCAAGGCGACGAUGCGUAGCCGACCUGAGAGGGUGAUCGGCCACACUGGAACUGAGACACGGUCCAGACUCCUACGGGAGGCAGCAGUAGGGAAUCUUCCGCAAUGGGCGAAAGCCUGACGGAGCAACGCCGCGUGAGUGAUGAAGGUCUUCGGAUCGUAAAACUCUGUUAUUAGGGAAGAACAAAUGUGUAAGUAACUAUGCACGUCUUGACGGUACCUAAUCAGAAAGCCACGGCUAACUACGUG
rnacentral:rRNA from 1 species